ACGGCGCGAUUAAAGACUUUGG
rnacentral:siRNA from 1 species